AACGAACGCUGGCGGCGUGCCUAACACAUGCAAGUCGAACGGAGUGAAAGAGCUUGCUCUUUCAUUUAGUGGCGCACGGGUGAGUAACGCGUAGAUAAUCUGCCUGAUGAUCUGGGAUAACACCUCGAAAGGGGUGCUAAUACCGGAUAAGCCCACGGGGUCUUUGGAUUCUGCGGGAAAAGGGGGGGACCUUUUGGCCUUCUGUCAUCAGAUGAGUCUGCGUACCAUUAGCUAGUUGGUAGGGUAAUGGCCUACCAAGGCUACGAUGGUUAGCUGGUUUGAGAGAAUGAUCAGCCACACUGGAACUGAGACACGGUCCAGACUCCUACGGGAGGCAGCAGUGGGGAAUUUUGCGCAAUGGGCGAAAGCCUGACGCAGCAACGCCGCGUGAGUGAUGAAGGCUUUCGGGUCGUAAAGCUCUGUCGAGGGGAAAGAAGUGUAUUGUGGCUAAUAUCCGCGAUACUUGACGGUACCCCUAAAGGAAGCACCGGCUAACUCCGUGCCAGCAGCCGCCGUAAAAC
rnacentral:rRNA from 1 species